UAUUACAUAUAUAGUGUUUAGAAAGUUCAUGUUUAUGAGGUUGUUGUCUGUUGUUUGUCUUGAUCAAUUUGACACCGAUUUUACUCAUUAAAUUCUUCAAUUUUCUCUACUUCAUUUUUAUUUUGAUUUGCUCUGUGAUUCAGGGCUCGGUAACGGGAAGUCCUUCAGCCGGCUGUUAACGAUGGUGGGGAGGGCUGACCUGUAGUGGCGGUUGUAGCAUUAUCGUGUUCCAGCAGGAUCGCGGAUGGCAAAAGGUACAAGUCUUGAAGAGUUCGAACAAUGUUGUUAAUUAGAGACAUUAUAGCGGUUAGGGUUUUAGGAGGCGCAGCCUGCCAAUACUUCUUUUAUAACCUUUUUGGCUUAAUAUUUCUUGAUAAUUUUUGGGGUUUUCUUGAUUGAGGGAAUUGUGCUUUAUUUUUUGUAAGGUGGUACAAAUUCAUUGCUUUUAACAGAGGUUCGAGUAACCGAAAGUAACUAAGGAAUCUUUAUCUAAUUUGUUUCAUCUCUUAGAAAAUGGUUUCAUGUUAUAGCCUAAUACAUUGAAAAUUUGUUGAUUCUUUCUCCUAGAAUUGUUUUGACUUAAUAAGUUACUGCAUUUCUGUUAUGAUUUUCGCCCCGUCUGCUUGAUUGUUGCCUCAUCUGGAAUUUCAUUGUUAUAGCCUAACGAAUCUUUAGCUAAUUCUUUCUCCCCGUGUGCUUGAUUUUUGCCUCAUCUGGGAGUUUUUAUUUAAAUUCACCUGAAAUUUUACUUCAUAUAUUCUUAAAUUUUGUCUGCUACAUUUUUAUUGUGAUUUGCUCUGUGAUUAAGGAAUCAUACUUGGAUAGUUUAAAAAGCAGCUUAAAUGUGGCAUCAAUAGUUGAGCUGAGUCAUGGUGGUGCUGAGUUUAUAGGUGGAAUAUGGCGUCCAUGUCUUAGAUACUUAAUGUGGUAUAUACUUUCCACUUUUUGCCUUACUAAUGAUUGAAUAUUGGAUCCUUACUUGCUAUUCACCACUACCUAAGUAGAUCUUUUUGAUUGAUUUAUUAGUUUCAGACCAAUACCAUUUCAUGUUAGUGAAGUGUGAGCAGCCCUGCUCCUGAGCUAUGCUUUGUAAUUGAUUAGGAAGAUCAAUAAGCCACUUUUCAUUUUUUCUUAUGGGGAUGCACGUGUCUUGCAACAUGAUAGGGUUGAGAUCUUAAUGGUGGAAUGGAACUACAAUGCUUUCUGAUAUUUUUUCUAUUGUAUACAGUGGUGGAAUGAAUGGCUAUAUCUCCCUUUGUGUUGGGAAUCCUUGCCGUCAUGUCUUCAAAUCAUCGAAUGGAAGACAACAUGAACAAUCAAG
rnacentral:lncRNA from 1 species